rnacentral:lncRNA from 1 species
UAGUUCCGGUCCGGCAGAGAUCGCGGAGAGACGCAGAACGCAGCCCGCGCCUUCAGGGCCCUCUGGCCCCGGGCCGGCGGAUGAACUGGGGGGCCUCGGGACAGGCCGAGCCCUCUGCCCUGCAGACACCGGAGGCCUCUGCUGUGGCUGCCCACUGGCUGUGCUCAGACCUUGAAGCCGCAGCGAACCUCUCUUUCCCACCCCACCUCGGUGACUGAUGGCGGCCGUGGCGUCUCCCAGCCCGGCCCCCGCCGGCACCCGGGUCUCCCGACCCAAGCCUGCUGGGCCUCGACGAAACCCCCGCAGAGCCGCCAGGACGCAGCGCCUUUGGGCGGCGCCGGGCGUGGUGGGCCGGGAAGUAUGGCGGCCGCUCGAACGCCGCGCGGCGGAGGCCAUUAAGGCGUGGACGGCCCGGAAGGCGGCCUAGGGACGCAAGCAGGCUUGGCCGCCUCUUUCGGCCACGGAGCCGCGCAGAUCCGGUUCCCGGGUGACCACUCUGUCGCCAUUGGGCGAGACCUACCUAGUCCUGACGACAACGGACAAAGGCCUUAAGGGGCCUGAAAGGUGAGCGAAGUCCCGAACAACGACGGGUGGAACGGUUAGCGGCCAUCGGGCGGUUGGUCUUCAUUCUACCAGACUUUGCUGUCGGAAGAGAGAAAUGGUAGAAUGACAGGCCACGUUUGGCCAGUUGGAAAUGCCCACCACCCUCUGGGAAGAUUUACUGGCCGUUUAUGGAAGGCCUGUGUAUAUAAUAUGAAAAAGCUGCUCUCAACUCCACCCCAACCUUUUAAUAGAAAACAUUUGUCACAUCUAGCCCUUCUAGAUGGAAAGAGGUUGUCGAGUUAUGAUAAAAGAGUUAGAAAGUUACACAUCUUGUAAAUUCUCAUUUGUUUAAAAGAAAUCGUAGAAAAUACAUGUCUUCUGGAGAUGACUUUUGGAAAUGGAAUUGUUAAGACGGCCUCUGGAAGCGAUACGUUCACGUUUGUUAAGUGGGUUAGAUGACAUGGAGCUGGAAGACCUGAGAAGGAAGAGAAGAAGGUUCUAUGCUAGACUGGUCAUAUUUAGAAGACAUUUUCAUAUUCUAUCCAUUGUUUUGUGUGC